GUGACUGUAUCAUAAUUGGUAAUGAUGCACCUUGUGAUGGUGUAAUAUGUGGAUUCAAGUUCCACCAGUCACCCCA
rnacentral:tRNA from 3 species